ensembl:lncRNA LINC00265 long intergenic non-protein coding RNA 265
AAGGCCAGUGGCUGGGUCUGGUUUUCUCAACACGGCCUCCUAGUCUCCUUCCCGCUUGGGCAUCUGUUUUUCUUAUAUAGACCCUGAAGCCGCCCGUGAUGUUCUGUAAGCAGGUUCCGCUUCAGAAUCAGAGGUACUUAAGAGGGAACCUGGAUGCUAGACCUGCCCUUGCUGCUGGCCUCAGUUUCUUUACCUGUAAAACAGGGAUUUUGGAACUGUUAAAUUAAAUCAAACUUAAAAGAAUUACAACUUAAAGCUGCUGGAACUUUACAUGAUCCCGAGCCUUGAGAGGAAUGUGGCUAUGCAGCCUGAGUCAUGUGGCAUGCAGAUGCAACCUCUGCCUUUUUCCGCUGUAAAUAAUUAAGAAGACCAAGUAGCAUCCAAGAGUCACCUAAGCUGAAGAUUCCCUUGAGAACAAGUACUGUCCUGUGGUUUCAUGGCCUUUCUUCCAUUUGUGGUUCUUGCCAAGCGGAAUUUAAAUGACAUCUUAUCAAGAUGGAUAAACCCUAGUUUCCCAGUGCUGGAAUAUAGAAAAUGGAUGGACAAGUAAAUCCCACUCAGCACCCAUAGCCCAGGCAUGGGGACCUCAACACAUUUGAGCCGCAGAGAUCACCUUUCAUUGUGAAUAGCUCUGAGAUGAUACUUCUGGUUGGUAAGUGCCCACUGGCAAUAGUUUAUAUAACAGCAAGUGAAGGAAUAAAUAGUCACCAAAACAUUUUCUGUCCCUAAUUCCAGCAUAAAUUGGAUUAGAUAGUUAUUUUAUGAAGAAUUUCCUAUGCCACAGUCCUGACCAUAUCUUCAAGUGAACAGAAAAAUUUGAUUAAAAAGUCAACCUUCUGUCUCACUCUGUUGCCCAGACUGGACUGCAGUGGUGCAGUUAUGGCUCACUGCAGCCUCAAUCUCCUGGGCUCAAGCAGUCCUCCUCCCUCAGCCUCACAAGUAGCUGGGACUACAGGUACUUGUCACCACACCUCACUAAUUUUCGUAUUUUUUUAAAUAUGUGGAUUCCACAGGACUGACUUCAAAAACUUGAGUAUGUGUGGAUUUUGGUAUACACAGAAAUGGGGGAGCUGGAAUUAAUCCCGCCAUAUACCAAGGGACAAAUUGUAUAUAUUUUUACAAUUAUACUGUAGGAUACAUUACAUUCCAUGACAAUGGUAGUUUUUAAUAACAAUUUUUAAUUGAGUGAAAUUACCAUAAAAAUAACAAUAGUAGCAGCUAAUAUUUACUGAGCUGUUACUAGGUGCGUAUAAAUACCAUAGAUUUUUAAAUUCCCUGUAACUCUUCCUU